CAGCCGCCGCGGUAACACCCAGGGUGCGAGCGUUAAUCGGAUUUACUGGGCGUAAAGCGUGCGUAGGCGGCUUCUUAAGUCGGAUGUGAAAUCCCUGAGCUUAACUUAGGAAUUGCAUUCGAUACUGGGAAGCUAGAGUAUGGGAGAGGAUGGUAGAAUUCCAGGUGUAGCGGUGAAAUGCGUAGAGAUCUGGAGGAAUACCGAUGGCGAAGGCAGCCAUCUGGCCUAAUACUGACGCUGAGGUACGAAAGCAUGGGGAGCAAACAGGAUUAGAUACCCGUGUAGUCCCUGUCUCUUAUAC
rnacentral:rRNA from 1 species